UCUUUCUAUCCACCUUUCUCGCUUAGGUUAAGUUUUUUUUUAUUGCAAAAUGUGUGUCUUGUUGAGUGGGCACACAUAGAAAAUCAAGAAAAAGAAAAUGUCAGAUUAAAUUCUUCUCAUCAAACAUAUAAUGCUACAAUAAAGUAUUUCAUUUUGUUAUUCAUUACUUGUGUAGCCAGACCAAUACCAAGUCGGCAAAACUUAAAUUAGAUGUGCUGUAUAUUAUUUAUAAGAAAAUAUUGAAAAGUGUAUAAAAUAAAUCUCAAUAAAGUUACUACUACUACUACAGAAGAAACAAACUAAAAAAAAAACAAAAGAAUAAAUUCCGAAUUUCAACAAUUGAUUAGCAACUAUUUUAUUUCCAUUCGAAACAAAAUUAUCAGGGCUAUUCUGGAAUUAUGAUGCUCGACCGAGAGAAGUCUAUACCUUUCUAUCAAGUCAACACUUAAUCACACCUAAUCCUCUUGUCGCUGAUGAGGAUGCUCUUAUUCAGCGUCGAUCCAAAAAACAAAACAAAUUGGUGGAUUCAUUUAAUCAAAUAUUUGCAGAGUUUAACCAGAACCCAAGGGUAGGGUAGUGAACCCCAACAGAGCAAUUUGCCUUAUUUUCUGGAUAUAUCAUUGGGAACAAUAAGUAUAUCAGGUCCGCCACUUGGCGCAGGAGCUGUUGGUGAUGCUGAUCCAUGGAACUUCUCUCCAGCUAGAGCUGCAAGUCAACUUUUUGUUGAGUUUUAUUUAGCAACUUGUGCCAUUACUGGUAGACCAGAAUGAUGUAGCUGUGUCUUAUCUUUUCUACAUUUUGAGCGAAUUUAUUUGACAUCUUGUACCACGACGUUUUUCUUUGCUACAAGCGAAUUUUCAUUCUGUUCAACCAGUUAAUCGAAAAUCUUUAAAAUUUUACAAAUUUUCUUUUAGCUCUCUGAUCCUUUUUCAGGUACAUCGUACAUCGUCACCACAAAUCGAUGCUUAACAUGCCAAUGUUCCUUAAGCAUCUGGUGGUGCUGCUGGUGGUGAUGAAGGAUGUCUCACACAAUAUACGCAAUCACCAUCUGUAGCUUCUGGUUCCUUCUGACUGCAGAGCAACAUCUUUCAAAUGAUACCAUGAAUGGCAAUUCAUCAACCUCACUAUAUCUGAUCCUUGGUUAUCGAAAACUUCAGCUAUAGGAGCAGCAGCUGCUGCAUCUCCACCGUCUCUACCAUUAGUUCAUUUGAUUUGAUAAUUGCCUUUGUUAAUCGCAAUAGUAUCAACUGAGCGCAGAUCAAGGAGGCAGCUUUGCCCACAUGACUCAUCACAUCACUUCAAGUUUCGAAGGAUUUGAACCAUCGGGUAGCAUAUGUACUUCGUCGAUUAAAACACCAAGUAUUAAUUCCAGUGAAAUCGUAUCUACUCAGUAAGUGGAUUCCAUAUCUACUCCCGAUAUAUGGAACAAGUCUAGGACAGGAGACACGUUUGGAAGCUCGAACUCAUCACCAAAGACUACUCGGGUGCGCUUGAUACAUAACUUACUGCAUUGUUUUGUCAAAGUAAACACAAGAGUAAUCCAUUACUCGAAGACUUGCUCACUUGCAGGAAAUCACUACUCAUGUAUAUCAAAUGAAUGACUUCAAAGAAUUACUAUGCUUGAGAGUAUUCAAAUUACUUGCCUGUAGUACGUCAACAAUAUUGAAAAAAAAAUUUUACAAUCCUUCUUCACUUCUUUUGAUUUGCACAGUAAAACCAAAUCGAUUUAGAACAUCCAAGUGAGAGCGAUAUAAAUCUGGCGAGCCAUAUAGAAGCAAAAGCAGUUCAUCUUCCUGUAUUUUCACAGACAAUUUCGCUUCAGGCAUGCAAUUUCGAAAACUGGAUUCUCUACUUAUUGUUGAGAAAUAUGUUAAAGAUCUUUUAUUGAAUUUCAUAAUAAGAAGUAACAGGACAUGGGCAUAUAAAUGAGUUUAGCGUGUGCUUAUUUUAACAGAGUAAGAUUUAUAUUAUAUUUUUGUACAAGGUCAAUACAUAUUUUUUUCAUCUCUAUUUUUAAAAUAUGCAAUGUUACAAAUAGUGUUUUUUUUUAUUAAUAAAUGGUACAAAACCUAGAGUAUUAUCAAACUUACUGCUUCUUUGAAAGAAUUCGGUUUGUAGUAAUAAUGCAAAAUAAAAUUAAAAAUAAAGAUUGAUUUACUUUAAUAAAAAUGGUAUAAACGA